GAGAAAUUAGGGUUCCGAAUUUCUGUGGAAUACCGGAUAAACCCCUGGUCUUACCCCAAAAAGAAAUUCAAAUCCUUGCACCAAAAAGGGGAGGCCACCUUUUCUAGGGGAUUUUAACUAAUUCACAAAGAGGAAAAAGGAAAUUGAUGCCUCAGAUCAAUUUGUUCGUCCUCUGGACCUUGCGUGGCUCAAUCUCACGACACCAGGGCGGAAACGCGUGCCCCCGCCUGCUGCUUUUUGUUGCUAGUCGUACACCAUGAGAGGGGUGACGAGGAAGAGGACA
rnacentral:misc_RNA from 1 species